GAAGUUACAUUAUGAGAUUAAAAGAGAGGCACGACACGCAGGUCAUAUUUUAAAAACCCAAAACAAAAUAAAGGAAAACUAAGGCCAUAAUCGAUCACCACAAGAUAAUAAUAAUAAACACAUUAUUAUUAUUAAUUUUAAUUCUUUUAAUUAAUUAAAACCAAAUUAAAUUUCAGCGACCGAUCACACUAGGCAGAGUUAG
rnacentral:lncRNA from 1 species